GCCAAGGCUCAAGUGGUAGAGCACUCGCCUAGCAAGUGCGAGGCCCUAGGUUCAAUCCUCAGAGACA
rnacentral:tRNA from 1 species